UACAGAGGUCUCAAGCGUUGUUCGGAUUCAUUGGGCGUAAAGGGUGCGUAGGCGGCGCGGUAAGUCGGGUGUGAAAUCUCGGAGCUUAACUCCGAAACUGCAUUCGAUACUGCCGUGCUUGAGGACUGGAGAGGAGACUGGAAUUUACGGUGUAGCGGUGAAAUGCGUAGAUAUCAGGAGGAAUACCGAUGGCGAAGGCAGGUCUCUGGGCUGACACUGACGCUCAUGCACGAAAGCGUGGGGAGCAAACGAGGAUUACGAA
rnacentral:rRNA from 1 species